AAUCAACGCUGGCGGCGUGCCUCAGACAUGCAAGUCGAACGCGAAAUUUCCCUUCGGGGAGAAAGUAGAGUGGCGCACGGGUGAGUAACACGUAGGUAAUUUGCCUUUGGGUGGGGAAUAACUCAGGGAAACUUGAGCUAAUACCGCAUAAUGCAGCGGCUCGACAUCGAGACAGUUGUUAAAGCGGGGGAUUGGAGCAAUCCGACCUCGCGCCUAAAGAGAAGCCUGCGGCAGAUUAGCUAGUUGGUAAGGUAAUGGCUUACCAAGGCGACGAUCUGUAACCGGCCUGAGAGGGCGGUCGGUCACACUGACACUGACAUACGGGUCAGACUCCUACGGGAGGCAGCAGUCGGGAAUUUUGGGCAAUGGGCGCAAGCCUGACCCAGCAACGCCGCGUGAAGGAU
rnacentral:rRNA from 1 species